UCUUUGAUAUAAUUUGACCUGCUCAAAAUUCUUCUUGUAAUGGAAAUUGACACAAGAUAGAGGAAGCGUGAUAUUAGGUGUUGUUUGUUAUAUCUUAGUAUUUUAGAGGCAUCUUGGUUGUAUGUUGUAGUUAGUUUUUGUAUUGUUAUAUCUUAGUAUUCACAGAUGAUACGUAAUGAUAAUUUAGUCUUGGUUAUGUUCUAGAUUGAUUACUUAUUUUUUCAUAAGUAUUUUGUAAUACUUAAAUAUAAAUAUAAUGUUAUGUGCAUGUUUAAUUGUUUGGCGUG
rnacentral:lncRNA from 1 species